AUGCCACCUUGCUGCUUGUGCAUUCCGGGCGCUGCUUGUGCAUACCGGGCACUGCUCACGCAUACUGGGCGCUGCUUGUGCGUGCUGCACGCCGGUUGUGCACCUCACGCUCCUCUGCGUGGCGCCGGUUUUGCGUCUCACCCGCCGCUUGUGCAUGCCGCCCGUGUCACCCGCUGCCAACGUGUGUCACCCGCUGCUUGCACGCCGUUCCCGGCUCUGCAGGGCUGUCACCGGCACCGCGGCUGCCCCCGGAGCCGGGUUACUUCUGGUGGUGGAUUUCGGCCCCCGGCGUUGCCUUGUUCCCGGGUUUGGUGGCGUGGCCGUUGCUUGGUGCCCAGAGGGGGGUUAAUUACCCUCCAAAAGGUGAUUAAAACUGCUGGGUUACAGCUCGGGGGCUCAGCCGCGAUCCUUGGCCUUCCACCAUCGCCGCGCCUCGGGGGGACGCGGGCCAAGCCCGGCCCUUGGAGGCCGAACCGUGCCCAAAGCCCGGCCUCGGCUCCCCCCCGAACAAGCGCGGCCCUGGCGCCUUCGGUGGCGCCUCCGCUCGCUCCGCCGGGGCGGAUCCAAAGUACGCAUACUGAUUGGUCGGCUGCGGAGCGCGCCCUCCAGCUCAGCCAAUCCCCGCACGCCGUUCGCAUCCACCCAUCUCCAGCCCCCGUGGAGCCGCCCCAGGGCAGCCGCGGCGGGGCCGGGCCAAUCAGCGCAGACCGCGGGAAAUUCAAAGCCAUCCCCCGCCCUCGCCCCGCGCGCAGCCAAUGGGAAGCGCUGCACCCUGCGGGCAGCCAAUCAGGGUCGCAGCGAGGUUAUAAAGGGCGGAGGUUGUGCGGAGGGGCGUGCAGAAGGCGGCGGCGCCGCGAGGCAAUUUGCGGGCUCACGGCGGCCCCAAGCGGCCGUUUAUGGAAUCAGAAUCACCUCCCUUCCUCCGUCCCUGUAAGGCCUUUUGUCAGAUCUACUCGCCUUCAGCUCCCUACGCAAACACCUCCCCUCCUUUUAUUUCUAUUAAUUACAAUUAACGCCUUAUUUAAGCGCCUCGCGCUCUGCUUGAGCUGGCUCCUGCAGUGCCGCGGUUAA
rnacentral:lncRNA from 1 species